GAGUGAGUCGUAGAAAUCAGUCAUGUCGUCGUCUUUGAUCAGAACAAAGAGGAAAAUCCUGGAGUUCCUGUCCAUGAAUCCUCCGAACUCACAGAGCGACUCUCCUCCGCUGCUCGGAGGCAACAGGUGACGGCGGGCGGUGUUUAUUUUCAGAUGAAAUAAUUGGCUCAUUAGAGGCUGUGAGGGCGGCGAGUGUUGGAGUGACAGACGUGUGUGCUCUGCAGCUGCCGACUCGAGCGCUCGUGGCCUUUUUUUAACAACGCCGCUGUUUGGCCCAGAUGAUGCAGGAGGGAGAUUCCUGCUGAAUGUCAGGUCAGCGGGGAUCCAGCGUGAAAGGUUGCGUGUUGGACUCCCACCAGGCUGCACCAGGUUCAUGCCAUCCUGUUCGCUGGUCGCUCGCAGCACCUGCGGCCGGAGCGACAUUUAGCCGCAGCGCUUCUGUGAAGUUUGCUUCCCUGAACAGAGGAAGGAUUCCUGCAGUGUCACAGAAAGCUCGGUGCAGAACAGCGAGCGAGGGAAGAAGAUCGGGAACGCCAUGAUGACCACCAGUCGCAGCGUGGUGCAGACGGGCAAGGCCGUGGGUCAGUCAGUGGGCGGAGCGUUGACCAGCGCCAAGUCGGCCAUGUCCUCCUGGUUCUCCACGCUGGCCCAACCCGCAGCUGUAACGCCCCCGGCCUCUCCUGAGACCGCCACCGAGGCGGAACCGUGACAACCCAAACUCCCAGUGACUCUGUCCCCCGUCCCUCCUCUGACCCUCCGGCUCCCGUGGCGCCGGAGGGUCAGCGGUCCGAGAGCUGGUUCCGUGAAGGAUGUGAGCGUCUGAUUGGAUGUUCACCAGAUACGACCCUGGACACGAAGGCAGCACUGCCAUUACACAACAGUCCACAGCCACUGUGAGGCCGAGACCGUCCCCGCUUCUACCAAAAACCAGAGGUUUCAGCAGUUUGCAUCGUGUCCGACCCCCCGCGUCUCCGCGCUGCUGUCGCCGAACCGUUCCCUGACACUAAACACGUCGUUGUUGGGUUUGCAGUUUUCGCUCUUUGCUGCGUUUUUUCAAGAGUUUGUCUCUUUUGUCGACUAUUUUCCUGAAGUAUUCACGUAAAAAAACAAAAAAACAACAUUAAACUGUGUCGCAGGAUUUGAGCUGAAGGUUUUAACAGUUGAGAUUUUUCAGUCUGGCCCAUGUGUGACGUCUCUUUAAUAACAUUCUGGUUGUUUCCAUUUUAAAUCAACGUGUCGGGUACGAUCAUACACGAACCGAAGUGAGGAGGCAACUCAGUUUGAUUUUCUCUCAUUAAAUUAUUAUUCUCUAAAAUGUCCAUCAGAGUCUGAGGUGACAGUAACAGUAGUACAAUAAAUAAUGAAUCAAGUCAAGCUCUUCGUUAUAAAUAUUUAAAUCCCAGGUUAAAUAAAGUCCAACACUGUGGUUUUGAGACUUUUGUGUAACAAAGACAGGAACAUCGUUCACCAGCGAACUUCCUCAAGUGCCAGUUUAAAAAAACAACACAAUUAAUCACAUUCAAAAAUAAAAUGAGCCAGUGAUUAAAUUAACUGAUGUUGUUGUUGUUAAUCCCCCAAAUAUGUAAAUGAAGAGCUUGAUGCCUUAUCUCGUCCAACUGAAGUUAAAACAAAAGUACAAACAAUUUGUUUUUAUUAUUUGACAAACAAUAUUGUGUCUCAAUAUCACAACUUUAAUAGUUUUUGUCUGACUCGUCUGCAGAUUCCAGAUAAUUCUCACAUUUUGAAAAUCAGAAAACAAUGUUUGGCCUUUUUCUUUAUAAUAACUCAUUAUUAUUCAAAUAAAUAUUUCAGCUCUAUUGCUCCUGCUCGUGCACAGACACAGAAAAUAUCAGAAUUUAAACACUAAAUCUGAGAAUUGUUACCGAAACAAUCACAAUGUUAUUUGGUGAAUCCUCCUGAGGCUCCAGUUUGUUCCCUGAUGAACGUGAUAAAUUCUCCCUCGUUAACUUUGAAGGAACCCAGAACCCUUUUCCACCGUCACGAUAUAUAUUAUAUAAUAUAUAUAGGGAGAAUUAUAUUUAGUAAAUCAGAAGCUAGUAAAACGUAUUUAUUUGUCAUGUAUGAACGUAUCUCAUAAAUAUCCAUGUUCUGUCAUGACAACACUGGAACACUGUGUGUAUUUGCACAAGCAGGUAUGAAUUCUGUUCACGUGAAUCUUUAUAACUGUAGCUGCAUCUUUUCCCUCCGCGCUACAACUACCGGAGUGUUGGGUGAGAAGUGGUCCAGCGAGCAUGCUCUGUCCAGUUCUACAGCUGUAAUCAGUGUCCUCCUGCUGUCUUUAAGAAACACUUUAAAUGUUUGCUCUCUUUUAAAAAAAAAAAAAUCUCAUUUCUGGAAAGUGAUUCCUGGUUUAAGUUUGAGAAAAGUUUUCAGCUCCCGAAGCUGCUUUUUGUUUCUUUUUUUACCCUCUGAUGAUAUAUUUUUCUUUUUUGUAUUUAAAAGAUUCGAAUGUAUCGUGGACUCGAGAUUCACAGAAUAUUUUUUUGACAGAUGCUUUUAACGUAUUUGGGAAAGAAAGUGAUAUUAUAUUAUAUUGCUGUAUUAAAAAAAAACAAUUAAA